rnacentral:lncRNA from 13 species
GAGAAUUAGCUCGAGGAAAACAAGUGGCACAAAUUUGGCAAAUAGAUUACAUAGGGCCGCUCCCCAUUUCUAAAGGGUGCACUUACAUAUGUACUAUUGUGGAUACUUAUUCUGGUGUGCUUAUUGGAUGUCCCUAUAAACGGGCCACACAAAAAAAUACUCUGAAAACCUUAGAUUAUAUUAUUUUAUAUUAUGGAGUGCCAUUACAAAUACAAAGUGACAACGGAUCUCAUUUUAAAGGUAAGUUAAUUACUAAUUACUGUGCUCAAUAUAAUAUAGAAUGGAUUUAUCAUAUACCCUAUUACCCACAAGCAGCAGGCCUCAUUGAAAGGAUGAAUGGGUUAUUAAAGGAAAACCUACGGAAAUUAACCAAUCCAAUGUAUUCAGGAUGGAAAACCUUUUUAUUACCAGCCUUACAACAACUUAAUAAUAGACCCCUAACUAGUGGCCAAACACAGUUGCAACGGAUGAUAUAUUCCUCUAAUACAGUUAAGAUCAGAUCCCAAGUAACACAUGAGCCUAUAACUAUCUCCUGGUGGAGAUUCCACCCAGAUGCAAUACAACCUUGGAAUGCUACUAAUGCUGCUGCAGGUUAUAAUUUAUUUAACUACUCUGUAACUAAAUUAAAUAGCAAAACUCAACAUGUAGUACCCACUGGAAUAGGUUUACAGUUACCUUCAGGAUAUUAUGGACAAAUAGCUGCUCGAUCUAGUCUAGCACAAAAAGGAAUGACAAUCUUAGGGGGAAUAAUUGAUGCAGAUUAUUACGGUGAAAUCAAAGUGCUUUGUUAUAACCUUGGUGAAGAAGAUAUCAUCAUCUUGCCUAAAGGCCACCGAAUUCCAGUUUUACAAAACACAGUAUGGGAAUCACAAAGGUUCACUCCAAAAUCAGCUCAUUUAGGAUUUGGCAGUAUUGAUGAAAAGAAACAAAUAUCAGGUCAUGUUUGGGUACAAACAUCUCCCCAUAAACCAUUACAAGCUGGAGAGACAGUAGCACAAGGAAGAAAUAAC